UACGUAGGGUGCAAGCGUUAAUCGGAAUUACUGGGCGUAAAGCGUGCGCAGGCGGUUUAGCAAGACAGAUGUGAAAUCCCCGGGCUCAACCUGGGAAUGGCAUUUGUGACUGCUAGGCUAGAGUGUGUCAGAGGGGGGUAGAAUUCCACGUGUAGCAGUGAAAUGCGUAGAUAUGUGGAGGAACACCGAUGGCGAAGGCAGCCCCCUGGGAUAACACUGACGCUCAUGCACGAAAGCGUGGGGAGCAAACAGG
rnacentral:rRNA from 1 species